rnacentral:rRNA from 1 species
UUGGAGGGCAAGUCUGGUGCCAGCAGCCGCGGUAAUUCCAGCUCCAAUAGCGUAUAUUAAAGUUGUUGCAGUUAAAAAGCUCGUAGUUGAAUUUCGGGAUCAAUUUAUCGGUCGUGCCUACGGUAUGAACUGGUACAAUUGGUUUCUCCCUUCUGACGAAGCAUGAUGUCAUUAAUUUGGUGUCGUGGGGAAUCAGGACUGUUACUUUGAAAAAAUUAGAGUGUUUAAAGCAAGCAUUAGCUUGAAUACAUUAGCAUGGAAUAAUGAAAUAGGACGUUUGAUCCUAUUUCGUUGGUUUCUAGGAUCGACGUAAUGAUUAAUAGGGAUAGUUGGGGGCAUUAGUAUUCAAUUGUCAGAGGUGAAAUUCUUGGAUUUAUUGAAGACUAACUACUGCGAAAGCAUUUGCCAAGGAUGUUUUCAUUAAUCAAGAACGGAAGUUAGGGGAUCGAAGACGAUCAGAUACCGUCGUAGUCUUAACCAUAAACUAUGCCGACUAGGGAUCGGAUGAUGUUAAUUUUUUAAUGACUCAUUCGGCGCCUUACGGGAAAC